GAUGAACGCUGGCGGCGUGUUUAACACAUGCAAGUCGAACGGAAAGGCCUCUGCUUGCAGGGGUACUCGAGUGGCGAACGGGUGAGUAACACGUGGGUGAUCUGCCCUGCACUUCGGGAUAAGCCUGGGAAACUGGGUCUAAUACCGGAUAGGACAAUGGUUUGGAUGCUGUUGUGGAAAGUUUUUCGGUGUGGGAUGAGCUCGCGGCCUAUCAGCUUGUUGGUGGGGUAAUGGCCUACCAAGGCGUCGACGGGUAGCCGGCCUGAGAGGGUGUACGGCCACAUUGGGACUGAGAUACGGCCCAGACUCCUACGGGAGGCAGCAGUGGGGAAUAUUGCACAAUGGGCGCAAGCCUGAUGCAGCGACGCCGCGUGGGGGAUGACGGCCUUCGGGUUGUAAACUCCUUUCGCUAGGGACGAAGCGUUUUUGUGACGGUACCUGGAGAAGAAGCACCGGCUAACUACGUG
rnacentral:rRNA from 1 species